rnacentral:rRNA from 1 species
GACGAACUGUGCGAACGUUAUUCGGAAUCACUGGGCUUAAAGGGUGCGUAGGUGGCGCGUUAAGUCAGGUGUGAAAUUUCGGAGCUUAACUCCGAAACUGCAUUUGAUACUGGCGUGCUUGAGGACUGGAGAGGAGACUGGAAUUCAUGGUGUAGCAGUGAAAUGCGUAGAGAUCAUGAGGAAGACCAGUGGCGAAGGCGGGUCUCUGGACAGUUCCUGACACUGAGGCACGAAGGCCAGGGGAGCAAACGGG